rnacentral:rRNA from 1 species
UACGAAGGGGGCUAGCGUUGCUCGGAAUUACUGGGCGUAAAGCGCACGUAGGCGGCUCUUUAAGUCGGGGGUGAAAUCCUGGAGCUCAACUCCAGAACUGCCUUCGAUACUGGAGAGCUUGAGUUCGGGAGAGGUGAGUGGAACUGCGAGUGUAGAGGUGAAAUUCGUAGAUAUUCGGAAGAACACCAGUGGCGAAGGCGGCUCUCUGGGACGGUACUGACGCUGAGACGCGAAAGCGUGGGGAGCGAACAGG